rnacentral:tRNA from 1 species
AGAAGUCCCGGAGAUCUUUGGAUCUCCUCUCCAAGUUUGCAACUUGGUGUG